GCGCUCGUGGCUCAAUUGGAUAGAGCAUCUGACUUCGGAUCAGACGGUUGGGGGUUCGAGUCCCUCCGAGCGCGCUA
rnacentral:tRNA from 2 species